rnacentral:rRNA from 1 species
GAUUUUAUUAAGGGUUAUUGUUGUUAUUAUAAUAUAUUAGAUUAGUAUAAUGAGUGAAAAUUAGGGUUGCUUUAUAAAAAAAUGAGUACUGUUAAGGAAUUGUUGUAUAUUUAUUAAAAAUAUUAGGUCUUUUAGUACCUUUUGUAUUAGGGUUUUUUAAUUUGAUUGUGUAUUAAUUUUUAUCUUGAUGAAUAUCGUGCUAUUAUUUAAGAAUGGUGGUUUUGUUGCAUAAAAUUUUUUAUUAUUUAAUAGUUAUGAAAUAUUAUUCAAGUUAUUUUUUAUCUAGUUUUCUAAGGAGAAUAAUAGUAGGUAUAUGUAUUAUGAAUGUAAGCGGGGAUUAGCUUGUUUAUUGUUUAUAUGUUCGUGGAUAAGAUAUUUAUUGGUGAAGUUGAAAGUUCUUAGUUUUAUGGUGUUAUUAGAGAUUAAGUUUUGUUUGUUAAUUUUUUUAAGAUUAUGUGUGAAUUUGGAAUUUUAUUUUAAUUUUUAUUUUAAUGAUAUAAUGAUAAAAUUAGUAAUAUAUUAUUUGUACAACAGGUUGUAAAAUUAUUGUUGGUAAUUUGAUAUAAAUUAUAUUAGGGAUGAAUAAUUCGGCAAAAAUUAGCUCUUGACUGUUUAGCAAAAACAUUGUUUUUUGUUGAGGUAAAAAAUAAGUUCUGUCCGCUGCUUAAGUAGUGUAGGGCUGCAGUAUUUUGACUGUAUGAAGGUAGCAUAAUCAUUAGCUUUUUAAUUGGGAGCUGGUAUGAAGGUGAAACAGGGGUUGGCUAUUUUAUUUUUAAUUAAUGAAUUUUAUUUUUAUGUGAAAAAUCAUGAGUGGAUUAAAGGGACAAGAAGACCCUAGUAAGUUUUAUUUUUUGUUGUAAUGCAUAUAUAGGUUAUUUAAUUUAUAUAAUUUAUGAUUUGGGGGUUUGACUGGGGCGGUAUGUUAAGAAACAUUAUUUAUUUUUUAAUUUUUGAUAACGAAAUUAUGGACCUAAGUAGGUUAGUUGAGUGUAAAAUUACUGUAGGGAUAACAGCGUAAUUUUUUUUAAGAGUUCUUAUUGACAAAAAA